AUGUCUAUUGACAGAAGUUUCCUGUGUCCUGCCUGGUCCUGCAGCCACUCAGUCCCAGAAAAGUUUAAAAGAAAUGCAGAUGAAAACAAUUCUAGAGAACUUCUCAUCUCUCAAUCCCAUUUAUGGUGUUCAGAUACGUGGAUGAUAUCCUACAGCCCCACCCCAUCCCCAGGCAGGUACUUUGCUUGGUGGGUGAUACCAAUGCACUGAUGACAACUUGGAUGUCCAUGGAAAUUGGCUGAACAGUGACAUUUGUUUGCUGGCUGCUAUGCUAAUGACCUUUACCUCUUGCAGCUUGGAGCAACAUUUAAUCUUGUGGAUAAUCACAACUGAAUUGCCUCCUAAGGGUGUGGUUCAAGGAGGAUGAGCUUCCAGCUUAUGUGCUGGAUACACUCAGUAAGGCCACAGUGUAUACACUCUUCACACCAGCCCCCCGGAUGGCCACCUCUGUCUUCUUGGAAGAGCUGCUGGGUGAGCAUAGUUAGUAUGGAUCAAAUGGCCUUACUCAGGGCAAAUCUUCCUACUCCAGUUGAUGGACUACAGGGGGAACAUUUUUCUUUUUUAAGAUUCCCAGCCUUCCUAGUUAGUUUUAUUUCUGCCAAAUUGCACACAAAUGUUCCCUUGAAGCCAGACACUUUUCAGACUCUUGUGCUGCAUGUUGACUUCGCCUGGUUAGGGUUCCACACUGGACCUGGUGCUCACACAGCAUUGCA